GCUGCUGUUAGAAAAUAUAUCCUAAAGCUAAUUGGCUUAUUGUAAAUAAUUAGACUUUUGUAUAUAAAUUAUUUAUCAAUGAAUAACAGGUUAUUUUGGCAUGUUCAUCAUAUGUACAUCUUUCCUAUAGAACUCUCAAUUUUAUGAUGAAGUUCCUAGAAAUAUAAUAUAAUCGAUAAAAGAGGAUUUAUCCAAUAGUUUUUAAAUAUGUUCGUGAUCAAAUGAUACA
rnacentral:lncRNA from 1 species